CCUACGGGUGGCUGCAGUGAGGAAUAUUGGUCAAUGGCCGGAAGGCUGAACCAGCGAUGCCGCGUGAAGGUCAGUGCCCUAUGGGCGUUAAACUUCUUUUGUGCGGGAGCAAUAAUGGUCACGUGUGGCCAGACGAGAGUACCGUACGAAUAAGCAUCGGCUAACUCCGUGCCAGCAGCCGCGGUAAUACGGGGGAUGCAAGCGUUAGCCGGAUUUAUUGGGUUGAAAGGGUGCGUAGGCUGGGAGGUAAGUCAGCGGUGAAAUGCCCCCGCCCAACGGGGUGAAGGGCCAUUGAUACUGCGUGGCUGGAAUGCGGAUGCCGUGGGAGGAAUGUGUGGUGUAGCGGUGAAAUGCAUAGAUAUCACACAGAACACUGAUUGCGAAGGCAUCUCACGAAUCCGCGAUUGACGCUGAUGCACGAAGGCGAGGGUAUCAAACAGGAUUAGAUACCCCUGUAGUC
rnacentral:rRNA from 1 species